ensembl:lncRNA
CUGACAAAUGUUACCACAAUCACUCCUGGCUUUCUUGGUAGAGGCUGAUGGUAAGGAAAGGUAAGGAAAGGCUUCCCUGGUGGCUCAGAUGGCAAAGAAUCUGCCCACAAUGCAAGAAACCUGGGUUCGAUCCCUGGAUUGGGAAGACCCCCUGGAGAAGGAAACAGCUACCCACACCAGUAUUCUUGCCUGGAGAAUUCCAUGGACAGAGGAGUCUGGCGGGCUACAGUCCAUGAGAUGGCAGAGGACUGAAGCUGGGAAGACUGAAAGAAGGAGAAGAAGAGGAUGACACAGGAUGAGAUGGUUGGAUGGCAUUAUCCACUCAACGGACGAAUCCUAGGGCUGUCUGCAGAACACCUUGUUUCCUAUCUGGUCCGUGUGAAGUAAUGAGACAAGAAUGUACUGGCAGAAACAGUCAAGGCUGGAAGUAAGUUUUGCUCUGUUACCCUCAUCUGUUCUCUGCUGCUUUCAGACUUCAAAACUGAACUUUCUGGUUUCCACCUUCACCCCAUGGUAUAGUCAUUAUGGCAG